GACACUGGGUCCCCUAGGAGCCUCCCCAGGCUUAAUGAUUGUCCAGAAGGCGGCUAUAAAGGGAGCCUGGGAGGCUGGGUGGAGGAGGGAGCAGAAAAAACCCAACUCAGCAGAUCUGGGAACUGUGAGAGCGGCAAGCAGGAACUGUGGUCAGAGGCUGUGCGUCUUGGCUGGUAGGGCCUGCUCUUUUCUACCAUGGCAGCCCAGGGCUAUGGCUAUUAUCGCACUGUGAUCUUCUCAGCCAUGUUUGGGGGCUACAGCCUGUAUUACUUCAAUCGCAAGACCUUCUCCUUUGUCAUGCCAUCAUUGGUGGAAGAGAUCCCUUUGGACAAGGAUGAUUUGGGAGGGACAAGGUCCCUGACUCCAAUCCUGAGCCCUUUGCCCCAUGUUGGGUGGUGGAGCAACAGAACUGCUAGAGGCCCGGGACUGGCAUCCAGGGUGAGGGUUCAUCACCAGCAGCCAGUCGGCAGCUUAUGCUAUCAGCAAGUUUGUCAGUGGGGUGCUGUCUGACCAGAUGAGUGCUCGCUGGCUCUUCUCUUCUGGGCUGCUCCUGGUUGGCCUGGUCAACAUAUUCUUUUCCUGGAGCUCCACAGUACCUGUCUUUGCUGCCCUCUGGUUCCUUAAUGGCCUGGCCCAGGGGCUGGGCUGGCCCCCAUGUGGGAAGGUCCUGCGGAAGUGGUUUGAGCCAUCUCAGUUUGGCACUUGGUGGGCCAUCCUGUCAACCAGCAUGAACCUGGCUGGAGGGCUGGGCCCUAUCCUGGCAACCAUCCUUGCCCAGAGCUACAGCUGGCGCAGCACGCUGGCCCUGUCUGGGGCACUGUGUGUGGUUGUCUCCUUCCUCUGUCUCCUGCUCAUCCACAAUGAACCUGCUGAUGUUGGACUCCGCAACCUGGACCCCAUGCCCUCUAAGGGCAAGAAGGGCUCCUUGAAGGAGGAGAGCACCCUACAGGAGCUGCUGCUGUCCCCUUACCUGUGGGUGCUCUCCACUGGUUACCUUGUGGUGUUUGGAGUAAAGACCUGCUGUACUGACUGGGGCCAGUUCUUCCUUAUCCAGGAGAAAGGACAGUCAGCCCUUGUAGGUAAGAUGAGCAUGGGGACAAGGGUGGGCAUAAGGAGCAGGAACCAAUGCAGGGGAUGCAAAUUCAGGCCUUGCUUCCAUUUAUCCUCUUUAUUCGUUCCUUGAGGCCGGGCACUACUCAGGCAGCUAUGGCCAGUCACCUAUGGGAACCCUGUACCUCUCCAGGUUUAAGCCAUUGUGGGACAACCCCAAUGUGUAACACCCUCCCACCCUUCCCUUCCCUCUUCCCACCACAACUCCCCACUGCAGGUAGCUCCUACAUGAGUGCCCUG
rnacentral:sRNA from 1 species